UUAAUAGAUUGUUUGGUAGCAAA
rnacentral:siRNA from 1 species